rnacentral:rRNA from 1 species
GUCCACGCUGUAAACGAUGACAACUAGAUGUGGGUGGAUUUUAUCCGCACGUGUCGAAGCUAACGCGAUAAGUUGUCCGCCUGGGGAGUACGGUCGCAAGACUAAAACUCAAAGGAAUUGACGGGGGCCCGCACAAGCGGUGGAACAUGGGGUUUAAUUCGAUGCAACGCGAAGAACCUUACCUACCUUUGAAUCCACGGAAUCCUAUAGAGAUAUAGGAGUGCCUUCGGGAACCGUGAGACAGGUGCUGCAUGGCUGUCGU